rnacentral:rRNA from 1 species
CGCUCUUUGAGCCAAAUUAUAUAGAGAGUCGAGCCUGCCCAGUGAUAUAUAUUUAACGGCCGCGGUACUCUGACCGUGCAAAGGUAGCAUAAUCAUUUGCCUUAUAAUUGAAGGCUAGUAUGAAUGGUUUGACGAAAAUAAAGCUGUCUCCUUUUAAUUUUAUAAAACUUGAUUUUUAGGUGAAGAAGCCUAAAUAUAAUUGAUAGACGAGAAGACCCUAUCGAUCUUAAAAAAAUUUUACUAAAAAAUAAAAUUGUCAUAAAAUAAACUAGUAAAAAAUUUUAGUUGGGGCGACUAAGGAACAAGCAAAGCUUCCUAUUACAAAUAUAACAUAUUAGUUACGAUCCAAAAUUUUUGAUUAAAAGAAUUAGUUACCGUAGGGAUAACAGCAUAAUCUUUUUUAAGAGUUCUUAUCGAAAAAAAGGUUUGUGACCUCGAUGUUGGACUAGAAUAUCCUAAAUGAUGCAGAAGUCUUUAAAGGUUGGUCUGUUCGACCAUUAAUAUUCU